CUAACCCAGAAAAGAUGGACAGUAGGCUUGUGCACGGAUUCGGUUUGGUCAGUUUACUUUGGCCAAUCCGGCUUGUUUGGCUGGCCUUAAUGGCGCAGCAGCAGACGUGACUCUCUGAUGCCUGGAACUGAAGAAACUUUUCGGGCAAGUUGCGGCAGAAAGGGAUUCCUUCUAACCUUAAGCACAAGCGGAUGUGUUUGCAAAGCCCUGAACUUCAUGGAUGGAAGAUGCAAAACAAGCAAGACAAGAUCUGAAGCACCUUUUCAAAACAACAGGAGCAAACAGGAUGAUUUAAACUUGGCAACCUUGGUGAGAUGGUGAGAUAAGGAGAUGAUCUGUGGCUUCAGAAGGGUCGGUUCCAACCUGGAACCAGUUUUUCCUGGCCGCGUCUUCCAAAAAACUGUCCCUCGCUCCGUUAUUCUCUCCCUCGAACAAUGAUGUUCACACGAAACCCUCUUGCUUCCCCAAGCCUUCAUUAUGAUGAAUCAUUUCGGGCACCAGAAAUAAAGUAUUCUUCAGGGCGAAACCUAAAUCAAGAAAUAGCCAUUCUUGUGUCACUUGCGGCGAGGAUUUCA
rnacentral:lncRNA from 11 species